UUUUCUUGAAGAAAUUCCGUCUCUGACUCUGGACUAGGAAAAGCAAGUAAACGCACUGCUCUCCUGCAUCCGUUCCCCAUCCCGCCAAAAUGAUCAAUCUGUGCCCUUUCUUGAGGAAAUAUUAACAAAUAGAGCUGAGGAGAGGGAAACAGAUGGGAUGAAGAAAUUGAACCAGCAGAUUUCUGGACGGCAUUCAAUGAGCGGAGUUUUCUAAUAUCCAAACAGAACUGCUCUUUAAUUUUUGUGAACAACCACGGUGGUGGGUGCAGACCUCUGCCCAGUCCCCUGGUCUCCCUCUGGAAGACCUCCACUGAGGGGCACAAAACGGUCCCUUUCUGAGUCCUUCUGGCCCAAGCAAACCGGAGCUUACAAAAGCGAUUUGGGGGGUGGGGGAGGGAAAGGGCAGAGACCGGCUCCGUGCUCUAGAUCUGGUCCCUGGGACACAGACACUGUGACCCAGAUGCCAAGGGGCAGGGCUCCAGCCAGGGAUCCCCUUACAUCUUUAUACACAAAAGCUUCUUUCAGAAUCUAAACUCACCCAACAGGAACAAUUUUUAUUUCUGACCAGGCUCCUCCAGAGCAUGUGUUCAUAUUUAAAAGCCUGCCCCUUGCCUUUUGCCUGAGUCCAGACUUAACUGGUAUUCUUUGAUUUGCAAAACAACAGUCACCAGGACUGGCUUCCUCACCGGUAGCCAGUAAACAACAGCACAUGCAAUUUACCUUGUAAAGUAAACUCAGCUCCACCCUCCCUCUUUUCUCCUUCCUUGGCUCCCGGCUCCAUUUGCUGGGGGUGCUCUGGCUUAUUCACCAAGGACAAUUUGCCAGCAACAGGAUAUGUCACCCCUCCACCCUGAAUGAUACAGUGUGCACAGCCUCUAAGGUGAUGUGAUUUAUCAAGCCCUCCAAACAGCUGCUUCUCACUUUCAUUUAAAAGACAGCUGGAGAAAGAAUUUUUCAACCUACCUCCAAAAAGUGAUCGUGUUCUGUAAAACCACGUCCCAAGUAUAUACAUGCUAAAUACAUAAGGAAGAGAUUAGAGAUACAUGAUCAAAUACAUGUUUCAAUGCUCAGAGCCAGGGUUCCCCCCCCCUUUUUGGUGUGUGUGUGUGUGUGUGUGUGUGUGUGUGUGUGUACGUGUGUUGAUGGAAAACAUUUUUCUCAUGAUACAUUAUUCGGCACAUCCUAUAGUAUUUUUCACAGUUUCUACAUGUUUGACAUUUUAGCCAAACCUGUUAGGAGGGGGAGUUACACGGAAGAGCUUCAAUAUUUAGCUUUCAAUAAUCGCUGCCAAUGUAAGAGCUGACGGAAAGCAAAGUUGAGUUGGGGGGGUGAUUUGGGGGGGUGAUUUUUAACAUAAUUUCUAAGAGAGCAAAGAUUUACCACAAAUAGUUCAUGAAAGAUAAUGAAGUAACUUUGAAAAGACGUAUAUACAUAUUUUGCAAUACGUGUGCUGUGAGGAGAAAACGAAGGGGGAGGUUAAUAAGUGGAAAAAAAUCUAGCAGACACUAAAAGGUUCUCAUAGUGAGAAAUACUCUGUAGAAAACAGUUCUAGAAUAAACUACUCUUUUUUUUUUCCUUAUGAACUAAAAUUCUCACAGAAUCUUGAAUCACCUGAAAUUUUGAAAAUUUUUGUGUGUUUGAAAUUCAUCUUAAGGUCACACGUUAGGGAGUAUGUGUCCUUGCUCAAACAGCCUCUAAGUGAAACGUGUGGGUAGUCUUCUGGUAUUUUCUUUUUAAUAGCAAUUUCAAGUACAGGAUUGCUGAAAUGUAGAAUCAUUUUCGAACACACACCCUGAGGCCACAGGACAAUGAAGAACAUUUCGAGGGAGUCGAUAAAAUAAAAAUAAAAGCUGCUGCAGUGUUCUUUGGAAAGCGGUGCACCUGCUCUCGGUGGCCUUACCUCUCACCUUGGCCUGUUUUCCCAUCAGCCAGCAGCCCCCCUUGAAACUGGAGGGAUUCAGGGAGGGAUUCAGAACCAAGUGAGAGUCCAGAGCUGCCUCCACCUCACUUGGAGUCUUUUCAGCGGGGCGGGGGUGGGGGGGCAGAAAAAAAGGUCCCUCUGAGGCAGAGAAUUUGCAGGUGCUUCUUGCCAAGGAAGUGUUGACAUUAUCAUUCCAUCCCCCAAGAAUCUCCAAUAGAUGUGCUCCCGUCAAAUAGCCCACUCACUUCCCCGUUCUCCCUGUUGUAGGACGUGAAGAGUUAAGAUGGUGUUUCUUGUUGUAGAAUUAAUCAGAUUCAUAUUAGCAGUAGUAAAUGUCAUGCUGGCACCUUUUCCUUCUCACAUAUUACAGCUUCGAGUCUCUGCUAUGAGGGAAUAAUGAAGUCAAGAUAUGCAGUGCCAUAUACCGAGCAUCUUUUUUGUCAGUCUGCAUAAGAAAUGAAUUGUAUCUGCGACUGAGGGGGUCAUAAGAGCAGUGAGGUAAGAAGACUGCUUAAAGAAAUGACAUGUCAAAGGAAACUAAAACUUUUUUUUUUUUAGCAUUUUCUAGGUGGAUUGCCUUUUUGGAAAGCAUCCACACAUAUCCCUUGGUUACUUUUAAUAGCUGCUUUUAAUGGCUACUGACUUAAGUGAUGUACUAGAAUGGGAUGCUUGUGAGAAAUACAAGUGGGUGGGCAAGAAGGUGCCCCAGCCAGAGAGAACUUAGCGGACUACAGUUUUAUACCAUGGCAUAUGGAAGUUCCCAGGCUAGGGGUCGAAUCAAAGCUGUUCCCUACACAAUAGCCAUGGCCACAGCAACGUGAGAUCCAAGCUAUAUGCGGCCUAUACCAGAGCUCAGGGCAAUGCUGGAUCCCCUACCCACUGAGCGAGGCCAGGGAUUGAACCUGCAUCCUCAUGGAUCCUAGUCAGAUUCAUUUCUGCUGCACCACAAUGGAAACUUCUCUAUAUUUUUGUUUUCAGUGUGUGCAGAGAAACAUGUCUCAGGAAUUACUAACUUAUUAACCUCCCCGGGCAGAAGGUGGGGUUCAUUCCACCAUUGUUUUGUUGUGUGGGGACAAAUCUCAGGCUUCUGUUGCUUGGUUUUUUUGCUAAGCAACUCUGCUUUCUUAAGUGAUCAUUAACUUACAGGGUCUCCUAUACUUUUUCUACUUACAGUCCCUCAGUGGGAUUCACUGCUUAACCACUUACUUUGUCCCUUUACUCUGUCCCUGUCUGUAGGGUGGUUAUGAGCUCAGCACUGGUAUCACAUAGCCUGGAGACGCCUCUCUCAGUUCUGCCUGAGACUGAACAUUCCCUGGACCAAAUGAUUCGACCUCAUCCAGUCCCUUUCAUCACAAAAUGAGGACCAUGAUAGUACUUACCUCGGAGGGUUCUUGCAAAGAUUAAAGUUAUUUGAAUCAUAUGAAAUUCUUGAAAUGUACUGCUUCUUAGGUCUAAUGCUGCAAUAACUGUUGGUUCUAUACAUAUUCAUUCAUACUUUAAUUUACUCCAUGAGUAUUUCUUCGUUACUGGCUAAGUUGAAUCUUUGGGAGAGUCAGGAAAAUAAUUGACUUGGGUCAGAUGCAUUGAGAUGAGCAAUGUUCUAAAAGGUGGUGUGAGGUAAAAAUCACUCUAUGGAGUAGAGAAUAGAGUAGUAGCUCAUGAUUUGGUAAAAGAGGCAAAAUCAUCCUUAUUUAUAAACUCCUGCAAGGGUGGGUGGUAUUAUCGGGUUUUUGUCAAAAGGUAUAAAAUUACAUGAACUUAGAAAAAACACCAUUCGAUGCCUCCUAAGGCCAGUGUCUGUUGCUAUAAUUUUUAAAUCAGCUUUAUUGAUUUAUAUGUUUUAAAAUUUACCCAUUUUAAGUACAACUUUAUGAGUUUUGAAACCUUCACUGCAAUGAAAAUACAGAAAUUCUUAUCUUCCCAAGUUCUUCUGUGCCCCUUUGCUGUUUGUUUCCCCUAUCCCAGGUGCCCAGCAACCACUGAUCUGCUUCCUGCUACCACAAUUUUUGUUUUUCAUUCCUGCUGCCACAACUUUUGUUUUUUAUUUUUAGAAUUUCACAUGAUUAGGCCCAUCAAGUGUGUGGUCUUUUGUAUCUGGCUUCUUUGCCUGAGCAUAAUGCUUUGGAAAUUCAUCUGUGUUUUUCCUGUAUCAGUAGUUCUAACUGCUGAGUAGUGUUCCAUAGGAUAGAAACAUCCAAAUUCAAUUAUCUAUUCACCAGCAGAUGGAAACUUGGGCUAUUCUUUAUUGUUCUAUCGAAAAAUACUUCCACAGAUUUUUUUUCAUUCUAAUCUUCAUGUGUGAUAGAGAUAGAGUAAGAUAGUUAGAUAGGUAGCUGUAGAAUUCCCAGUCUGGGACCAGAGGUAAGAGAGGAAAACCUAGGAGUUCCCCUCACGGCUCAGCAGUUAACGAACCCGACUAGCAUCCAUGAGGACAUGGAUGUAAUCUCUGGCCUUGCUCAAAGGGUUAAGCGUCCAGCGCUGCCAUGAGCUAUGGUGUAGGUCAGAGGUGCGGCAUGGAUCUUACGCUGCUGUGGCUGUGGCAUAGGCCGGCAGCUACAGCUCUGAUUGGACCCCUAGCCUGGGAACCUCUAUAUGCCACAGGUGCGACUCCAAAAGGCCAAAAAAAAAAGAAAGAAAGAAAGAAAGAGAGAGAGAGGAAAACCUAGGGAAACAUGGGAGACCACUGUAAGUUAAUUGCUCCAGAAAGCCAUCAGAACCUUCAUGGAACAAGCUUCGGGAACAAGCAGCCUGGUUUAUCUAUAAAAUCGUAAAUGAGAUAUAAAAUCAUAAAUCAUGAAAUAUGUCUCAGGACAUUAAGUGAAAAACAAAAUGAGGCCUGCAUUCAAGUUCAGCAAGAUAAUCAUCCUUAGGACCUAAGAUAGGAAUUUAAGAGGAAGAUGACAUUCUAGCGUAGGAAGUCCUCAUUAUAUGGAAGCCUGACAUGAUUCAACAUAAUUUAGCAUCUGUUACUGUAGGAGAAAAUGUCCCAAUAAAAUGUAGAAAGGAGAGACCUCAGCCAUGAUGACUAAGCAAAGUCUAGCUAACUGCCCCAACCAGUCCUCCCCCAUGCAUCUGCUUCUGUAAACUUGUUUCCACAUCUACUACCUUGCCUGACAUCACUCCAGUCCAACUAGCCAAGCUUGGACACGGAAGAUGUAGCCCAUAAAAGCCUUGUGAAACCCUUCUUCCAGGCUCAGACUCUGGAGAGCGAUCUCUUCUGAGCCUGCCGGCGUAAUAAACCUGAGUUCUCCAACUCUCCGAGUGCUCGCUUGGUUUCUCACCGGGUAAAAGAGCUGAUCCACUACAGCCACAGAGCUGCUGGAGCUGGUACGCUACAGCCA
rnacentral:lncRNA from 1 species